rnacentral:rRNA from 1 species
GAGUUUGAUCAUGGCUCAGGAUGAACGCUGGCGGCGUGCCUAAUACAUGCAAGUCGAGCGGUAAGGUCUUCACAGGCUAUUUGAAAACUUAUCCAGCUGCAAGAUGCGAAGCAUCCUUCAGUGGGAUAGCCGGUUUAAGCGAUUCAUUCGCUUAAUAACCGAGCGUAAGGGACGAGUCCCUUGUAAAAUUCGAAUAGUGCGUGAAGAUACACGAGCGGCGGACGACUGAGUAACGCGUAGGAACGUACCCCAAAGUGAGGGAUAAGCACCGGAAACGGUGUCUAAUACCGCAUGUGGUCUACGGAUUAAAGCCUUCGGGCGCUUUGGGAGCGGCCUACGUAUGAUUAGCUAGUUGGUGAGGUAAAAGCUCACCAAGGCGACGAUCAUUAGCUGGUCUGAGAGGAUGAUCAGCCAGGCUGGGACUGAGACACGGCCCAGACUCCUACGGGAGGCAGCAGUAGGGAAUUUUCCACAAUGGACGAAAGUCUGAUGGAGCAACGCCGCGUGCAGGAUGAAGGCCUUCGGGUCGUAAACUGCUUUUAUGAGUGAAGAUUAAGACGGUAACUCAAGAAUAAGGGACGGCUAACUACGUGCCAGCAGCCGCGGUCAU